rnacentral:miRNA from 1 species
GUCGUGUGUGUGUGUGUGUGUGUGUGUGUGUGUGUGUGUGUGUGUGUGUCCGCGCAUGCACGCUCAUGCAC